GAUGUUGGGUUAAGUCCCGCAACGAGCGCAACCCUUAAGCUUAGUUGCCAUCAUUAAGUUGGGCACUCUAAGUUGACUGCCGGUGACAAACCGGAGGAAGGUGGGGAUGACGUCAAAUCAUCAUGCCCCUUAUGAUUUGGGCUACACACGUGCUACAAUGGACAAUACAAAGGGCAGCGAAACCGCGAGGUCAAGCAAAUCCCAUAAAGUUGUUCUCAGUUCGGAUUGUAGUCUGCAACUCGACUACAUGAAGCUGGAAUCGCUAGUAAUCGUAGAUCAGCAUGCUACGGUGAAUACGUUCCCGGGUCUUGUACACACCGCCCGUCACACCACGAGAGUUUGUAACACCCGAAGCCGGUGGAGUAACCUUUUAGGAGCUAGCCGUCGAAGGUGGGACAAAUGAUUGGGGUGAAGUCGUAACAAGGUAGCCGUAUCGGAAGGUGCGGCUGGAUCACCUCCUUUCUA
rnacentral:rRNA from 1 species